GGGGAAUAUUGCGCAAUGGAGGAAACUCUGACGCAGCAACGCCGCGUGGGUGAAGAAGGUCUUCGGAUUGUAAGGCCCUGUCGGGGGGGAAGAAAAGCGCGUGGAGAACGCGUAUGACGGUACCCUCGAAGGAAGCACUGGCUAACUCCGUGCCAGCAGCCGCGGUAAUACGGAGAGUGCAAACGUUGUUCGGAAUUAUUGGGCGUAAAGGGCGCGUAGGCGGUCUGGUAAGUCGGAUGUGAAAGCCCGGGGCUCAACCCUGGAAGUGCGUUCGAAACUGCUGGACUUGAGUUCAGGAGGGAGAGGUGGAAUUCCUGGUGUAGGGGUGGAAUCCGUAGAUAUCAGGAGGAACACCGGUGGCGAAGGCGACCUCUUGGCCUGUAACUGACGCUGAGGCGCGAAGGCGUGGGGAGCAAAC
rnacentral:rRNA from 1 species